UACACUUAGCAUAGUCAGCCGCUAGAGCUCUUUCUUCUUCCCAAAAAACUUAGAAAAACUUUAGAGCUGAAAAUAGACCUAGACAUAUACAAGGGAGCUAAAGCCUAAAUCAACAAAGGAAAUACACACAAAAAAGAGAAGACAAAAAAAGCUGACCGAAAAUGCAAAAGGAGGAGGCGCCGCAACUCUUACGCCCCUAAAAAACAGGAGCCAAACCCCAUUCUGGACAAAAAAUCCAAGAAAAGCUUGCCAUUUUCCCUUCCCCAAGAUCUGAUUUGAAAAUAUGAUAACACCACCCAAUAAAAUGUCUUCAUCUACCAAAACGCAAAUGGCAGGCAAGAAGAAAAGCAAAAGGGAAAACCUUUUGAUAAGCCUAAUAUAGUGACUGGAGCUAAUGUGCAGAUUGCAUCUUUGAGAUUUCCAAAAAAUUACAUCUCCUGUUGAACAAUUUCGUCCUUUAUUGGAACAGAAGAAAGAAAUAAUGGCUUAAAGUACCUUACACGUGAUUUUUAGCUAGAAUUUCGAUUUGGAUUUCGAGUGUUCCGGUGUCGAUUCGAGGUUUCGGUUCGCAAUUUCGUUGUUUCGGUCCAAGAAUUGUUGCUUGUUUAGCCCGAUUAAUUUGCAAUUUUCGACUUGGCUCAUCAAUAAAGGUUCAUUUCUCACUUUUCAUUCUCAUUUUAAUGUGUUAUAAUAGCUCGGUGCGCGUGUUGGUUAAUUUGUGAUUAGCAUGUCUUAGUUUUCAUUUAAUUUGUUUUAAUUAGUUUUUAUUUCGAUUGUGAUGCAUUUAGUCUCGGGUUCUUGAAUAAAUACUUUUAAUCAGUAGGUGGAAAAUUGGAAUUAUUUCUUUCUUGACAAUGAAUAAGAAUGGGCCAUAAGGUAGGCCUUGGACCAUAAGGAAUCUAGCCAAGUAAUACAUCAUGUUAGCUAACCUAUUUGCCCCAAUAAUAUCUUGUUGAUAAAUUUGGCAUUACAACAACCUCAAAGAUUAGGAAAAUAAUUAGAUGCGCUAGUUGCUUUAAGCGCGUUAUAAUAAAAUUAUCAUAGCUACGGGUACGGUUCCCGUGACAUAGUUGUGAUACGCAAUCCUAAAUUCGGGUGCGCAUUUAUGUGACCCAAAUCCAAAUCUCAACAAUGUUAGAUAAAAUAUGUUGCGGACCAUGGGUGCAUUUAUGUGAUGUGGUUCUAGACGUAUUUUUGAUAACGUUGAAUUUUUCUUAAAAUUAAUUGAACAAAAGCGGUUAAAAAGUUAAAAUUGCACCAUAGGCUGAAACAUGUACUAAAAUUAGAUAAUUAAGCCAAAUAUAACAGUUGAGCGACCGUGCUAGAACCACGGAACUCGGGAGUGCCUAACACCUUCUCCCGGGUUAAAAGAAUUCCUUACCCGGAUUUCUGGUUCGCGGACUGUAAUACAGAGUCAAUCUUUUCCUCGAUUCGGGAUUUGAACUGGUGACUUGGGAUACCAUAAAUUAUCCCAAGUGGAGACUCUGAAUUUUUAAAUAAAAUAAUCUCGUUUCGAUUGUCCUUUAAUUGGAAAAACUCCCUUAUACACCCUUUACGGGGGUAUAGGUAAAAAAGGAGGUGUGACACUUAAUUGUUUAGAAGAAUAAGCUAUAACCUUACCAUGCUGCAUCAGUACACAACCCAACCCACUGCCCGAGGCGUCACAAUAGAUAACAUAACCAUCGGUCCCUUCUGGGAGCGUUAGAACCGAUGUUGAAGUUAAUCUGUCCCUCAAUGCCUGGGAACUUCGUUCGCAAGCAUCAGUCCAUUAGAACUUGGCUCCCUUCUGAGUUAACUUAUAUGGGUAUUUUAAUCUUUCAUAGUUCAUGAAAUUCCCCUCUUCGAAGGCCCAAACUUUAUCCUACGCCCUUACUCCACUACCAGGGUAGUAUCUAUUCCAAAUGUUACUAGUCUUAGACUCCUUUGAGUUCAUUCAGGCUAUAUUGAGCCUUCUAUAAUUUAGAGAAACCAUCAGCUCUCUUAUAAGCUUAACCCCAAGGACUUAUCCAUUCUUGUUACCUUUUUACUAUCUUUUCUUAUCCUUCUUCCUCUCCUCCUAGAACCUUGUCGCUCUACCAUACUUUAGCUUGCGACCUACACAUAUCUAUUUAUAUUUAUAAGCAACCUUUCUUUAACUUGCUUGCACCAUAGAUUUUCUUAAGUUAUUCCGGAACAUCAAGCAAGACACCACAUACCACUUUGGUCAAAGGUGCUUUGAAGAGAAUAAAAUUUCGUUACAAGUUUCUUGUAAUAACCUGCCAAACGUAGAAGCUACUAACCUUCAUCAGUGUUGUGGUCUAGGCAAAGUCUUCACUGCCUCAGUCUAUUGAAUAUCCACUCGGAUGUCUUUACCCGAAAUAAUAUGCCCAAGGAGAGCUACAGAGUUCAACCAGAAUUCAUAUUUAGGGAGUUUUGCAUACAACUUCCCUUUUUGUAGAACUUUGAGUACAGUACGCAAGUGAUCUGCAUGCUCAGCCUCUAAACUAGAAUAUACCAAUAUAUAUAUAUUGUCGAUAAAUAUGAUUAUGAACAGAUCUUUAAAAGGGUCUGAACACACGGUUCAUUGAGUCCAUGGAUACUGUUGGGGCAUUGGUUAGACCGAACGACAUAACCCCAAACUCAAAGUGCCCAUAUCUAGUCCUGAAUGCUGUCUUCGGAAUAUCUUCAUCCUUAACCCUUACCUGAUGGUACCCGAACCUCAAGUCUGUCUUUGAGAAAUACUUGGCACCUUCCAAUUGAUCAAAUAAAUCAUCAAUUUUCUGGAGCAGGUACUUAUUCUUGAUCGUCACCUUAUUCAGCUGCCUAUAAUCAAUACAAAUUCGUAAGGAACCAUCUUUCUUACAAACAAAACAGGUGCUCCCCACGGUGACGUACUAGGUCUAAUAAAACAUUUUUCAAGCAAGUCCCUUAGUUGUUCCUUUAAUUCUUAUAGCCCUGUAGGGGCCAUUCUAUUGGGGGANNNNNNNNNNNNNNNNNNNNNNNNNCAGAAGACCCAGAAGCUCAUCGGGAAAAACAUCGGGAAACUUAUUAAAUACAGGAAAGAAUUGAAUAUUUAAUAACUUUACUUCCACAUCCCAAACCCGAACUAAGCGAUAAAUGUAGUCCUUUAUGAUUAUCUUCCUUGCCUUGAGAUAGAAAAUAAAUUUACCUCUUGGCGAUGUGGUAUUACCUUUCCAUUAAAACAGACUCUCCUGGAAGCUGAAAUCAAACCAUCUUUGAUAUACACUUGAUGUCAACAUAACAAAAGGCCAAUUAAUCCACACCUAUUAUAAUAUCAAGUCCUUCCCAACCGAACACCAUGUAUCUUAUCCUUGUUCAUUAUCAAAUCUAUCACGGGCCAUUUCAGGACACAUCCAUAUAUAUAAGUAACAAUAUUAAAACAUAACUUGCAGAACUAAUUUACAAAAAGGUUUAUAUACAUAGGGGUCGACUAGGCCAUAGACAUGUCAUACCCAAAACUAUAUACAGAAUAAUGUCUGCAAAACCUCUAAGUAGGCAUAACCAUAAUAUAUACAAGUCGGGGUGGGGCUCUCUACGUCCUCAUAAAAUAACCAAACACAUUUAGAACCCUGACUUGGUAAUAUUCCGAGAAGAGAUGGAACUCAUCAACCAAAACUAACACUUGGAGGACGUCUAUAGUAGAGGGUCCUUGCCUCAUCCUAUAUGAGAGCAUCGAUCGGACACACUUUGAAGUGGAAUCUUCAUGUCCUUAUCAGUUAACUUCCUCCUCUUGGACCGACUACUAUCUUCUUCCUCUGCGCAUCCCAUAACAUAUACCGACGAACCUUGAUUGACGGACUCCCAAGACUGUGGACUAUCUGGAAUCGCAAGAAGAGCUGGUGUCCGCAAAUACCUUGACAUAAUUUUGAGCCUGAGGGAAUCACAGUUGUGCCAAUCCAUGCACUACUCCCCUCAUACUCAUACCCUGAUCAACGGGUUGUGAUAAUGAAACUAAGGGCCUUGGUGAGGUCGAAACGUCUCUCACCCCAUCUACUGCCAGAGUGAUCGAAACAGCUCGAACGGAUGACUCAUAUGGAUCCUCGAAUGGUUCAUGCUCAAUAGAACCUAUGAUCUUCGAUAGGUUUGAAUCCAUGGUAUAACUUAUCUCUCUUUCUAACACCUUCGUAGCCUUUUGACCCAUGCUAGCGGUUGUAGUCUUCGGAGGCAUCGCUAAAAACGUAACACAUCGUUAGGAACAUGAAUGCUUAUAUCGCACGAUCUAAGAUAAGAAGAGAGGAUAAGAUCCUAUAUGUCCUAUAGCCUCCUAUCUAUUAUAAGUGUGGUGCACAACACACCCAUAAAUAAGAUUCUACUAGACACGGCUUGAAGACUCCCUAGGACAGAACUGCUCUGAUAUCACUUUGUCACGCCCCGAGCUCGGGGGCGAGACCGGCACGUAGUGCCUCAUCUAUCCUUUUGUACCACUUGCGACUAAGAGACUCUAGACGUGUAAUGUCAUACUUUGGCUAUGGGCCACAUUAUAAGAUAAUAUGCGAUAGAAAAUAUAAAACUAAACGGAGACUAACGCUGACUAAUGUCAACAUAAAGCUGGGCCGUACUACAACUAACAAGCCAACAAAAUAUACGUACAGGUCCUACAAGCCCAGCAUAUUGUACUAACCGACAGGAUAUGUCUACAAGUCUCUACUGAUAGAUAUACUGUGAUCGGAAUAGGGCCCCGACUUGCCCAUAACCUAUCUAUAUAUAUACACAAGAUAUACACCACACUACUAGACUCGGCAACUCCGAAAGAAGGGGAGCUUACCGAUAAAGCUAAACUCGGACAACACCUUUUAAGGAGGUCUACCUGUCUAUCUGUCUGAACCUGCAUGCAUGAAAUGCAGCACCCCCAGAAAGGGACGUCAGUGCAAAAUAAUGUACUGAGUAUGUAAGGCAAUAUACCGAAGCUGAAACUGAACUGAUAAUAAUAUAAUAACUGAAAACAACUGGGAGUCAAAGAAAAUCUGAAGAUAUGCUCAUCUACUGAUAUUGACUCAACUAUCUCAAUAUAGUGAGUAAAAUAGUUGUCCGGCCCUAUAAGGCUCGAUAUAUAUAUAAACUGCUCUGUCGUAGUAGGCUCGCUCAUAGGCGCUCGACCAUACUAGGCUUUGUAUCUCGACCAACUGGUCUCGCUCAUAGGUGUUCGGCCACAACAGACUCGGUAUAUAACUUACCAUCUGAUCAGAGGUUGCCCAUUGAUUAUAGCUCGAUGGUAAUGAAAAUACUUUAAUACUGUAUUUAUAAAUUCUCUGCUCUCUUGAUCGAAAGAAGGAAAUACUCAACUGAAUAUGCAGUCUCGAUAAGAAUAAUAUGGUAACUAACAAAACUAGGAAAAUAUAUGUAAUUUGUGAGGCUAGCAAAAUAUACAUAAAUUCCGGGAUAUGAAUUUUUCUCUAUGCCUCGUUAUCAAACUUGUGUAAUUAUGAUAUCAUGCUAAAAUGAAGGAAAAGCUUAGCCUUAACAUGCCUGGAGUAAGAAAACCUUUGUAUAAUAUCUGUUGGAAACCUUCGUGAAUCGAACUUAGAACUCAAAAAUCGGAUUAAGCUUUAGCGUUUUGAAAUUGAUGAACGAAAGCUCAAGCUUCUUGCUUGUUGAUGUAUUGAACGAAUGCCUUAAAACUGUUCUUGAAUUUUUCAAAUUAAGAGACAAGGCAUCCUUGAUUUUUGGAGUGACCAAGACUACAUUACUUAAGAAAGACUUAGGAUCCAAUUUCAAUGUCUUGGGAUUGAGACUUUGAAAGUAUUUUAACGUUUUUCCCCAUCUUUUAUAUAAAGGAAAGGUUUCUGAUCUUUUCAUGUACUUGAACCUAAGAAGGAAUAAAGAAGUCUUAUGUUUGUUAGAUUUUUAAUAUAACUCUGAGUAGCUACAUGGCAUAUAAAUGUCCUUACAUUGCCAAAUGGCAUGAUAACUAAUGAGUCAUUUUUAUCAUGGUGGCUUUUUGCCACAUUUUAAAGGGAUAUAUUUUAUAAAUUUUUAUCCACUUAUUAGUUAACUGGGUAAUGUUCUAUUAUUCGGUAAUUAAUCAAUUACCCGCAUAAUUUAAAAAUUACUAAAAAUUACUCAAAAUUUUAUUUAUUUUUAAAAUACUUCAUAUAUACUUUAUAUAUUAUACUACCUUGGUCAAAUAGUACCUUGCAUGGUACUAGUUCAUAAUUAUCGGGUAUUAUCGCUCGACCCGUAUUUUAUCCCAAAUUGGCCACAUGCAACGAAACUCGUUUUCUUUAAUUCGUUUACUUGUUAUCCUGCAUGACACUUCUUUAUCGCUUGUUAUAAAUAACAUAAGUACGUUAACGUCAAGUUGAUUUCAUCACCGAGUCUACAUCGGUUAACUAAAAAAGAAAUUUUAUCGUACGGAAACGCGAGAUGUAACAUUAAUACUCGAUCCUAAUGUGAACUCUACCUAAUUAAUCAUGGAAUUUAAGCCUAAUAUUGAAGAACUAGGGCUUGUAAUUGGAGAUCUAAAAUUUGGGAUUUGAGGGGUCGUUUGUAGUUUGAAUUUGAUGCUUUUAAAAUGAAUGAACUCGGGGAGUGAUAAGGAGUCUAUUGAUAUAAUUUUUAUCGGAAUCCGAGACGUGGGCCCGGGGUCGGGUUUGGCCAAUUUCGGGAUUUGUGUUGUAAUUUGAUUUCUUUCGAGUGAGUUUUGUUCCCUUAGCAUAUUUUGAUGAUUUUGCACUGAUUUUGGUUAGAUUUGGAGCAUCCAGAGGUCGAUUCGAGAGGCAAGGGCAUCGUGGGCUAGAGAUUGGACCGGAUAGAGGUGAGUAAUAAUUAUAAAUGUUGUCCUGAGGGUAUGAAACCCCAGAUUACACAUCGUUGUGCUAUAUUAAGGUGACACACAUGCUAGAUGAUGAGCAUUGGGUCGUGUACCGUUGGGGAUUGUGACUUAGUCCAUCCCGAAUGACUGAUUUACCGCGUAUUUGAUUGAAAACUGUUUACUAUCACCAUGUUUUGGGCUAAAUACCAUAUUUGGGCAUCGUGCCAACUAUUUGAACCCUUAGGGAAUUUUUACUGAUAUUUUUUCAUUGUUUUGACUUUAUACUUGUACUCAGUCAUGCUAUAUUCUACUGUUUUCAGAACUUGGUCAUGUUUACUCUUCUUUAAUAUAUUAAAUGAUAUUCUAAAUAAUAAUUUGAGCUGAGCAUCAUGUUUUACUGCUGCCCGAGUGGCUUAUGAGAUUCUGACUGGGUAAGGCCGAGGGCCUGUGUUGUGAGGAUACACUGAUUUAUGAUUAUGAGGCUGAGGGCCUGAGAUUCUACGCCACGAGGUGGCUUGUUGAUAUGAGGCCGAGAGCCUAUUGAUUAUGCCACAAGAUGGCAUGAUAUUGUGCUUGGGCCGUAAGGGGCCCCUCCUGGAGUCUCUACACCCCCAGUGAGCACGUGUACCCAUUGUGAUAUGAGAUAUAACCCGAGGGGCUGGUGUUGUUCCAUGAUAUUGCCCGAGGGGUGGAUUCUGUUGACAUUGUGCCCGGGGGGGGCGGAUUUUAUGUGUUUAUUUGUUCUAGCUGCUUUUCAUGUAAUUUUUUAAUUGUUAAAAAGGUGUUUUAAAGAAGCUUCUUCUAAACUAAGGUGUCUUUAUAUGUUUUCAUUGUUUCAUUGCUUUUACUGGUUUUAUACUGCUUCUUUAUAGCAUGUUGAUGUUCUUUUACAUGAUUUCUUAUCGCUCAGUCUUCAUUUAUUGUUAUUACUCACUGAGUUGGAGUACUCACUUUAUUCCCUGCACCCUGUGUGCAGGAUCAAGAGCUUCAGGUCUCGCUAGCGAGUGUUGAUUGCUUCCAGCUCAGGCGGAUUCAGAGAUUCAUUAGGUAGCAGCUUGGCGUUCGCAGCCCAGUGCUUCUCCCCCUAUCUUAUUUUCUCUUAUCUUAUGUUCUGUAAUAGACUAUAUAGACUCUUUCUGUUAUAAACGGCAAGUAAUGGCUCAUGACUGGUGACACCCCAAUGUCAGGCUAUGUCUAUUCCACAAAU
rnacentral:lncRNA from 1 species